rnacentral:rRNA from 1 species
AUGGUUAAGUUAGAAAGGGCGCACGGUGGAUGCCUUGGCACUAGGAGCCGAUGAAGGACGGGACGAACACCGAUAUGCUUCGGGGAGCUGUAAGCAAGCUUUGAUCCGGAGAUUUCCGAAUGGGGAAACCCACUGCUCGUAAUGGAGUAGUAUCCAUACUUGAAUACAUAGAGUAUGAGAAGGCAUACCCGGGGAACUGAAACAUCAGGACCAUCUCCCAAGGCUAAAUACUCCCUAGUGACCGAUAGUGAACCAGUACCGUGAGGGAAAGGUGAAAAGCACCCCGGAAGGGGAGUGAAAUAGAUCCUGAAACCGUGUGCCUACAAGUAGUCAGAGCCCGUUAAAGGGUGAUGGCGUGCCUUUUGUAGAAUGAACCGGCGAGUUACGAUCCCGUGCAAGGUUAAGCAGAAGAUGCGGAGCCGCAGCGAAAGCGAGUCUGAAUAGGGCGCAUGAGUACGUGGUCGUAGACCCGAAACCAGGUGAUCUACCCAUGUCCAGGGUGAAGUUCAGGUAACACUGAAUGGAGGCCCGAACCCACGCACGUUGAAAAGUGCGGGGAUGAGGUGUGGGUAGGGGUGAAAUGCCAAUCGAACCUGGAGAUAGCUGGUUCUCUCCGAAAUAGCUUUAGGGCUAGCCUCAAGGUAAGAGUCUCGGAGGUAGAGCACUGAUUGGACUAGGGGCCCCUACCGGGUUACCGAAUUCAGUCAAACUCCGAAUGCCGAUGACUUAUCCUUGGGAGUCAGACUGCGAGUGAUAAGAUCCGUAGUCGAAAGGGAAACAGCCCAGACCGCCAGCUAAGGUCCCAAAGUAUACGUUAAGUGGAAAAGGAUGUGGAGUUGCUUAGACAACCAGGAUGUUGGCUUAGAAGCAGCCACCAUUUAAAGAGUGCGUAAUAGCUCACUGGUCGAGUGACUCUGCGCCGAAAAUGUACCGGGGCUAAACGUAUCACCGAAGCUGCGGACUGUUCUUACGAACAGUGGUAGGAGAGCGUUCUAAGUGCUGUGAAGUCAGACCGGAAGGACUGGUGGAGCGCUUAGAAGUGAGAAUGCCGGUAUGAGUAGCGAAAGACGGGUGAGAAUCCCGUCCACCGAAUGCCUAAGGUUUCCUGAGGAAGGCUCGUCCGCUCAGGGUUAGUCGGGACCUAAGCCGAGGCCGAAAGGCGUAGGCGAUGGACAACAGGUUGAUAUUCCUGUACCACCUCCUCACCAUUUGAGCAAUGGGGGGACGCAGGAGGAUAGGGUAAGCGCGGUAUUGGAUAUCCGCGUCCAAGCAGUUAGGCUGGGAAAUAGGCAAAUCCGUUUCCCGUGAAGGCUGAGCUGUGAUGGCGAGCGAAAUUUAGUAGCGAAGUUCCUGAUUCCACACUGCCAAGAAAAGCCUCUAGCGAGGUGAGAGGUGCCCGUACCGCAAACCGACACAGGUAGGCGAGGAGAGAAUCCUAAGGUGAUCGAGAGAACUCUCGUUAAGGAACUCGGCAAAAUGACCCCGUAACUUCGGGAGAAGGGGUGCUUCUUAGGGUGUUAAAGCCCCGAGAAGCCGCAGUGAAUAGGCCCAGGCGACUGUUUAGCAAAAACACAGGUCUCUGCGAAGCCGUAAGGCGAAGUAUAGGGGCUGACGCCUGCCCGGUGCUGGAAGGUUAAGAGGAGCGCUUAGCGUAAGCGAAGGUGCGAAUUGAAGCCCCAGUAAACGGCGGCCGUAACUAUAACGGUCCUAAGGUAGCGAAAUUCCUUGUCGGGUAAGUUCCGACCCGCACGAAAGGCGCAACGAUCUGGGCACUGUCUCAACGAGAGACUCGGUGAAAUUAUAGUACCUGUGAAGAUGCAGGUUACCCGCGACAGGACGGAAAGACCCCGUGGAGCUUUACUGCAGCCUGAUAUUGAAUGUUGGUACAGCUUGUACAGGAUAGGUAGGAGCCUUGGAAACCGGAGCGCUAGCUUCGGUGGAGGCAUCGGUGGGAUACUACCCUGGCUGUAUUGACCUUCUAACCCGCUGCCCUUAUCGGGCAGGGAGACAGUGUCAGGUGGGCAGUUUGACUGGGGCGGUCGCCUCCUAAAAUGUAACGGAGGCGCCCAAAGGUUCCCUCAGAAUGGUUGGAAAUCAUUCGCAGAGUGUAAAGGCACAAGGGAGCUUGACUGCGAGACCUACAAGUCGAGCAGGGACGAAAGUCGGGCUUAGUGAUCCGGUGGUUCCGCAUGGAAGGGCCAUCGCUCAACGGAUAAAAGCUACCCCGGGGAUAACAGGCUUAUCUCCCCCAAGAGUCCACAUCGACGGGGAGGUUUGGCACCUCGAUGUCGGCUCAUCGCAUCCUGGGGCUGUAGUCGGUCCCAAGGGUUGGGCUGUUCGCCCAUUAAAGCGGUACGCGAGCUGGGUUCAGAACGUCGUGAGACAGUUCGGUCCCUAUCCGUCGCGGGCGCAGGAAAUUUGAGAGGAGCUGUCCUUAGUACGAGAGGACCGGGAUGGACGCACCGCUGGUGUACCAGUUGUUCUGCCAAGGGCAUCGCUGGGUAGCUAUGUGCGGACGGGAUAAGUGCUGAAAGCAUCUAAGCAUGAAGCCCCCCUCAAGAUGAGAUUUCCCAUUCCGCAAGGAAGUAAGAUCCCUGAAAGAUGAUCAGGUUGAUAGGUCUGAGGUGGAAGCGUGGUGACACGUGGAGCUGACAGAUACUAAUAGAUCGAGGACUUAACCUAUA